rnacentral:misc_RNA from 1 species
GAUGAAGAACGCAGCGAAAUGCGAUACGUAAUGUGAAUUGCAGAAUUCCGUGAAUCAUCGAAUCUUUGAACGCACAUUGCGCCCGCCAGUAUUCUGGCGGGCAUGCCUGUCUGAGCGUCAUUUCAACCCUCAUGCCCCUAGGGCGUGGUGUUGGGGAUCGGCCAAAGCCCGCGAGGGACGGCCGGCCCCUAAAUCUAGUGGCGGACCCGUCGUGGCCUCCUCUGCGAAGUAGUGAUAUUCCGCAUCGGAGAGCGACGAGCCCCUGCCGUUAAACCCCCAACUUUCCAAGGUUGACCUCAGAUCAGGUAGGAAUACCCGCUGAACUUAAGCAUAUCAAUAGCGGAGGA